NNNNNNNNNNNNNNNNNNNNNNNNNNNNNNNNNNNNNNNNNNNNNNNNNNNNNNNNNGGGGGGGGCCGGCGGCGGCGGCGGCGGCGGCGGCGACGUUUCCGGGGUGAGGAGAGAUCCGGGGGUCCCCGCCGUCACCCCCAUCCCCCCCCCGGGGCUUUCGGGGCUGGGGGGGAGUUUUUCGGGGACGUUUUCCGAGGGGGGUUCCGGGGGUCCGAAAGCGAAGGGCGGAGCUUGCCGAGGGGUGUAGGGAGGCGUCCAGGUUUCGGUCGCGGUCCCUCCCGGUAAAUCCGAGGCCGAGCGGGUGCCCACGGCCAAACCGACGCCGACGUUGGCCCCCACGGGCAGCCCCACGGCGGGACCGGCGGCGUUGGUUCGGAUGGAUCCGGCGCCGCUCGCCACGUUGGUUCCGACGCCGGCGCCGAUGGCGGAUGGAAGAGAGGAGUCGGCGCCGGCCCCAAGGCCGAGUCCGACGCCGGCGUCAGUUCCGAGUCCAACGCUGGCCCCGAGCGCGGCUCCGACGGCGAAGCCGAGGGCGGAUCCAACGCCGGAAGCGCCGGCGGCUCCAACUCCGGCACCGACGGCGAGGCCGAUGCCGGUGCCGACGUCCGAUCCUCGUGCGGAGCCGGUGCCGGCUCCAACGUUGGCUCCGAGACCCAAUCCGACACCAGAUCCAAGAGCGGAGCCAACGCCGGCGCUGAUGUUGGCUCUGACAGCGGUUCCGAUGCCGAGUCCGACGCCUGCGCCGACAUCCGACGGGAGAGGAGCGCCGCUGCCGGCUCCGGCGCCGAGUCCCAUGCCGACGUCGACCUCAGAUCCAAGGGCAGAGCCAACGUCGGCUCCAACGCCGGCUCCCAUGGCAAGGCCGACACCGGGUCCGAGGGUAGAACCAACGCUGGCACCGACGCCGGCUCCCAUGGCAAGUCCAGAUCCAAGAGUAGAGCCAACAUUGGCACUGACGCCGGCUCCCAUGGCAAGUCUGACACCGGGUCCAAGAGGAGAGCCAACGUUGGCACCAACGCCGGCUCCGACGGCGAGGCCGACACCGGAUCCAGAAGUAGAACCAACUCUGGCACCGACGCCGGCUCCAACAGCGAGUCCAGAUUGAAGAGUAGAGCCAACGUUGGCACCGACACCCGCUCCCAUGGCAAGUCCAGAUCCAAGAGCAGAACCAACACCGGCACCGACGCCGGCUCCCAUGGCAAGUCCAGAACCAAGAGCAGAACCAACACCGGCACUGACGCCGGCUCCCAUGGCAAGGCCAGAUCCAAGAGUAGAACCAACGCUGGCACCGACACCAGCUCCGACAGCGAGGCCAACACCGGAUCCAAGAGUAGAACCAACACCGGCACCGACGCCGGCUCCAACAGCGAGUCCAGAUUGAAGAGUAGAGCCAACAUUGGCACCGACGCUGGCACCCAUGGCAAGGCCAAUACCGGAUCCAGAAGUAGAACCAACUCCGGCACUGACUCCGGCUCCAACAGCGAGUCCAGAUUGAAGAGUAGAGCCAACAUUAGCACCAACACCAGCUCCCAUGGCAAGGCCAACACCGGAUCCAAGAGCAGAACCAACACCGGCACCGACGCCAGCUCCCAUGGCAAGGCCAGAUCCAAGAGUAGAACCGAUGCUGGCACCAACACCAGCUCCAACAGCAAGUCCAGAUCCAGGAGUAGAACCAACGCCGGCACCGAUGCCGGCUCCCAUGGCAAGUCCAGAUCCAGGAGUCGAACCAACGCCGGCACCGACGCCGGCUCCAACAGCAAGGCCAACGCUGGAUCCGACACCAGACCCAAGAGUGGAGGCGACGUUGGCUCCGAGAGCCGCUCCAAGACCGAGUCCGACGGCGGAUCCAAGCGUGGAGGCGGCGCUGGUUCCGGUGUUGGCUCCGAGGCCGAGCCCGACGCCGGCACCUGCACCGGUCCCAACGCUGGCGCCGAUGGCGAGCCCAACACCGGCGCUGCCGUCAGACGGAAGAGCGGAACCGACGGCCCCGAUGCCGAGCCCGACGCUGGCUCUGACGCCGCCACCGAGACCGGAUCCGAUGUUGGCACCGAUAUCAAGAGCGACGCCGGCUCCGAGCCCAACGUCCGCUCCGGCGUUGGUCCGGAGAGCGGUUCCAAUGUCGUCCGCGGCGCCGGGCCCGAGCGCGGCUGCGAUAUCGGCCCCAAGAGAGGGGCCGACGUCAGGGCUGCCGCCGGCUGCCACGCCGAGCCCGACGUCCACUCUGAUGCCGGCUCCCACGCCGAUGCCGAUGCCGAUGUCGGCGCCGAGAGCGUGCCCAACGCUGUCUCCAAGAGCGCGGCCAACGUCCAUCCCAACGCCGGGCUCGGCGCCGGCACCGACGCCGAGUCCAAGGCCGUGUCCGACACCGGAUCCAAGAGUAGGGUCAACGUCGGCCGCGGCGCCGGCCCCGAGGCCGUGUUCCAUGGCGGCUCCCAGCCCGGCUCCCACGUUGGUUCUGAGGCCGCGUCCGACACCGGCGCCGAGACCGGGAUCGACGUCGGCUGUGGCGCCGGCUCCGAGUCCAUGUCCAACGUCGGCUCCAAGACCGCGGCCAACGUUGACCCCAAGGCCCAGCCCAACGCCGGCUCCGCCGUCGGCUCCGAGCUCGGCUCCCAGCACCAGCUCAAUGCCGGAUCCGACGCCGGGGCCAACGCCGAGACCGGGCCCGACGCCGAGAUCUCCGCCAGCUCCAACAUCCGCCCCGGGGAAAUCAAGGCCGGGCCCGAAGGAUUCCGGGGGUCCCGGGGGGGCUUCGGCCGCCAGUUGCUGCCGCAGACACCAAGCUUCGGCCUCGCUGCGGGGGAAAUAGGGGAAGGGGGGGGUCAAGGGCGCAUCCGGAUGAUGGGGCGCUUUGGGGGGGCCCCUUUGGGACCCUCGCUCACCUGAUGAUGAAGUUGUGGGCGAGCAGGGCCGGGCCCUCGGGGCGCAGGCGGGCGUAGACCCAGGUCCAGCCCAAGCCGUCCUUGCGCUGCAGUCGGGUCACCAGCUCCCCCCGAGCCUCCGCUCCUGCGCCCGCUGCGGG
rnacentral:lncRNA from 1 species